GAUGAAGAACGUAGCGAAAUGCGAUAAGUAGUGUGAAUUGCAGAAUUCAGUGAAUCAUCGAAUCUUUGAACGCACAUUGCGCCCCUUGGUAUUCCAUGGGGCAUGCCUGUUCGAGCGUCAUUUCAACCCUCGAGCCCCCCCGGGGGCCUCGGUGUUGGGGGACGGCACACCAGCCGCCCCCGAAAUGCAGUGGCGACCCCGCCGCAGCCUCCCCUGCGUAGUAGCACACACCUCGCACCGGAGCGCGGAGGCGGUCACGCCGUAAAACGCCCAACUUUCUUAGAGUUGACCUCGGAUCAGGUAGGAAUACCCGCUGAACUUAAGCAUAUCAAUAAGCGGAGGA
rnacentral:misc_RNA from 1 species